rnacentral:rRNA from 1 species
GACGAACGCUGGCGGCGUGCUUAACACAUGCAAGUCGAACGGAAAGGCCUCUUUCGGGGGGUACUCGAGUGGCGAACGGGUGAGUAACACGUGAGUAACCUGCCCUUGACUUUGGGAUAACUUCAGGAAACUGGGGCUACUACCGGAUAGGAGCUCCUGCUGCAUGGUGGGGGCUGGAAAGUUUCGGCGGUUGGGGAUGGACUCGCGGCUUAUCAGCUUGUUGGUGGGGUAGUGGCUUACCAAGGCUUUGACGGGUAGCCGGCCUGAGAGGGUGACCGGCCACAUUGGGACUGAGAUACGGCCCAGACUCCUACGGGAGGCAGCAGUGGGGAAUAUUGCACAAUGGGUGGAAGCCUGAUGCAGCAACGCCGUGUGCGGGAUGACGGCCUUCGGGUUGUAAACCGCUUUCGCUCAUGACGAAGCUUUGUGUGACGGUAGUGGGUAAAGAAGCACCGGCUAACUACGUG